rnacentral:rRNA from 1 species
UACGUAGGCAGCGAGCGUUGUUCGGAGUUACUGGGCGUAAAGGGUGUGUAGGCGGUUCUUUUAAGUUUGGUGUGAAAUCUCCCGCUCAACCGGGAGGGUGCGCCGAAUAUGAGGGACUAGAGUGCGGGAGAGGAAAGUGGAAUUCCUGGUGUAGCGGUGAAAUGCGCAGAUAUGCGGAGGAACACCGAUGGCGAAGGCAGUCCCCUGGGGCCCUGCACUGACGCUCAUGCACAAAAGCGUGGGGGAGCAAACAGG